rnacentral:rRNA from 1 species
UACGAAGGGGGCUAGCGUUGCUCGGAAUCACUGGGCGUAAAGGGUGCGUAGGCGGGUCUUUAAGUCAGGGGUGAAAUCCUGGAGCUCAACUCCAGAACUGCCUUUGAUACUGAAGAUCUUGAGUUCGGGAGAGGUGAGUGGAACUGCGAGUGUAGAGGUGAAAUUCGUAGAUAUUCGCAAGAACACCAGUGGCGAAGGCGGCUCACUGGCCCGGUACUGACGCUGAGGUGCGAAAGCUAGGGGAGCAAACGGG